CUGACGCUCAGGUGCGAAAGCGUGGGGAGCAAACAGGAUUAGAUACCCUGGUAGUCCACGCCGUAAACGAUGUCUACUUGGAGGUUGUGCCCUUGAGGCGUGGCUUCCGGAGCUAACGCGUUAAGUAGACCGCCUGGGGAGUACGGCCGCAAGGUUAAAACUCAAAUGAAUUGACGGGGGCCCGCACAAGCGGUGGAGCAUGUGGUUUAAUUCGAUGCAACGCGAAGAACCUUACCUGGUCUUGACAUCCACAGAACUUUCCAGAGAUGGAUUGGUGCCUUCGGGAACUGUGAGACAGGUGCUGCAUGGCUGUCGUCAGCUCGUGUUGUGAAAUGUUGGGUUAAGUCCCGCAACGAGCGCAAC
rnacentral:rRNA from 1 species